rnacentral:rRNA from 1 species
AACGAACGUUGGCGGCGUGGAUGAGGCAUGCAAGUCGAACGCGAAAGCCGCAAGGUGAGUAGAGUGGCGGACGGGCGAGUAACACGUAAUCAAGCUGCCUGCGAGACGGGGAUAACCUCGGGAAACCGAGGCUAAGACCCGAUGGUUUGCGCGGAUCGCAUGGUCUGUGCAAUAAAUGGGCGGGAUCCUCCGGGAUCGCCUGCUCGCAGAGGUGAUUGCGGCCCAUCAGCUAGUUGGUAGGGUAACGGCCUACCAAGGCAACGACGGGUAGCCGGCCUUAGAGGGUGGUCGGCCGCACUGGGACUGAGACACUGCCCAGACUCCUACGGGAGGCUGCAGUCGAGAAUCUUCCGCAAUGGGCGAAAGCCUGACGGAGCGACGCCGCGUGGAGGACGAAGGCCUUCGGGUUGUAAACUCCUGUCACGAGUUAAGAAGGGGAUACGGCGAACAGCCGUGUACUUUGACGUAAGCUCGAGAGGAAGCACUGGCUAACUCUGUG